AUUUUUAUAAAAUUAUUUUUAAUUUAUAGGUGUAUAUUUUUAAAAAAAUGAAUUUUUUGUUUAAUUAUUUUCUUUUAAAAAAAUUUUUUUAUAAUAGCGUAAAGUAUUGUGAGAGAUUAAAUUAAAAUGUUAUAAGGAAAAAUUGUUUUGUACCUUGGGUAUCAGGGAUUAUUAAUUAAGAAUUAAAUUUUUAAUUUUCUCGAAUUUUAAAGAGCUGAAUUUUUAUAGAUUUUAUUGUUUAAUAAAUAUUUAAAAUAGAAGUUUGGAGGUGAAAGGUCAUUCGAUUUUUUUUAUCUAGUUUUUGAAGAAAAAAAUUUAAUUUUUUUAUAAAUAAUAUAGGAUUUUUUAAAAUAGAAAAUAUUAAUUAUAUAUUAUAUAUUUAGGGAAGAGCUUAAAUGUAAAAUAUUAUAAUUUUGUAGAGAUAAAAGUUUAGAUUUAGGAUUAGAAAUGUUUAUGAUUAAUAGGAUGUUAUUAUUAAUAGAUUUAAAAAUUUAAUAUUUAUAUAGUUAAUUUAAUUGUUUUAUUUAAAAGUUGAUUAAAAUUAAAAAAUUUAAGUUAAAAUGAUAGUAUUAGUAUAAAGUUAUGAGUAAUUUUAGAUAAAUUUAAGGAAUUAGGCAAUUAUAUUUUUUACCUGUUUAUUAAAAACAUGUUUUUUUGAAAUAUUUUAAGAUUUCCCCUGCCCACUGAAAAUAUUAAAUGGCCGCGGUAUUUUGACCGUGCUAAGGUAGCAUAAUCAUUAGUUUUUUAAUUGAAAGCUGGAAUGAAGGGGGUGAUAAAAAAAUAGCUGUCUCUGAUUUAUUUUUUAAAAUUUUAUUUUUAAGUAAAAAAGCUUAAAUUUUUUUGAAAGACGAUAAGACCCUAUAGAGUUUAACAUAUUAAAUUAAUUAAUUUUAAAGGAUUUAUAAUUUUAUUUUUUUAAAAUUUGUUUAAUUGGGGUGAUUAAAAAAUUAAUAUAACUUUUUUUUGAAAAAACAAUAAUUUUUGAUUUUUAUGAUCCAUAUUAAUGAUUAAAAGAUUAAAUUACCUUAGGGAUAACAGCGUAAUUUUUUUUUAGAGUUCAAAUCGAAAAAAGAGUUUGCGACCUCGAUGUUGGAUUAAAAUUAAUUUUUGAAGCAGAUAUUAAAAAUUUAGGUCUGUUCGACCUUUAAAAUUUUACAUGAUCUGAGUUUAAACCGGUGUGAGCCAGGUUGGUUUCUAUCUUUAAUAAUAGUUAAUAUUCUAGUACGAAAGGAUUGGAUAUUAGAUUAAAAGUUUGUUA
rnacentral:rRNA from 1 species